GGGGGGUGGGGGGGUGGGAAAAGGAAAUUAAGAAAAUCAAUAACACAGCUAAUUAAGUCACUAAACAAAGCAAGUAUAAGAUGCAGAAAAUCCCGUUCACAACAAACAAUUGUAGACUUCACAUGAAGGAAUAAGAAGAAAGAAAACCAACUAUAGACUGUCUCAAUUUACUCCGCUAUCCAUGAACCUGACCAGCUGUCCAUGCAUAGUUACAGCUUCAGAAUGUCACUGAACAAUUAUCGAAGAAUCAUUUUACUGUUGAUUGAGUUUACAAGCUAGUAUCAAGACCUCCUUACUCUUUUAUCCGCAGGCUUCAACGAACUUGCAGCAGCACGGGAACUAGACUGUGGCCUUGGAACUGGGUUAAAGGUGAAUCCUAUCAAAUUACUAGGACCUUUUUGAGAGGGCAUGGGGGGUGGCACUCUGGAAUUGGCAGGCAGAUGAUAUAGAGGAGAUGGUUGUGAAGAAAAACUGUUAUGGGUAGGGGCAGAAGAUGGAUAAGGAAACACUGAUCCUGUAGGAAGAGGCAACAACAUUCUCGAGGUAGGGUAUGCAGGUGGAAAGGUCUUUGGUGGUUCAUUUGUUCUUUCAUUCUGAGCAUCUGGCGGCAACCAUUCAGGAAUAUCAUCAUCACAAAGUAAGUUCUUCUUACCCGAGCUAUGAAACGGAACCAUCGGUGAACCAUAUGCACGAACAGGAACUGUCACUGGAAUAGCAUGACUUUGGCUGUAAUGCUUUCCUUCCAUUUGCCUAGAAGCAGUGACCAGUUGACUAUAGUCAUUAACAUUUCUAGCUAGGGGCAUCUCUUUACUGAUCGAUAUUACUGACCUAGGAAUAGUCAUGCAAGCUGAAGGUGCCACAGGUCUGGUGGGCUGUUUAGACAUAUCUAAAAUUCUACUUCCAGAAAGUUGAAGCCUAUUGCCGAUAAUGGAUCCAUAGGAACGAUGGGAAGUUGAAGAUAUUCCGCUAGCAGUUCCAAAGUCAUACUCAGGGAGAUCAUCAUCAUCAUCUGGAAAUGCCAUUUUUCGUUUUGAUGCAUUGGACAGCAAUGAUGUUACAGGUUUUGGGAGGUUCCUGCUUUCCUUGGGUGGUUCAUCAUUUGACUGGUGCACACAAGAAGCUUCACUGCUCGACAAGUGCCCUUUAGAUCCCCAAAGAUGCGAGCCGGAAAGUUCAGAUUUUUUUUGCUGAAAAGGUGGUGACUUCACACCUGAAGCUGUUAAGGUUGUCCUGCUUGCAGAAUCAAUACCAAUACUCUUGUUAUCAGUGACAUUUGCUUGUUCAAGAUUUGAGAAAGAGCUCAGUGGGGCAGAUGGGUUUGAGUUCAUAACUGAUGGCAUAGAUAAAGAACCUUGUCCCCCACCUUGCAACAUAGAAGAAUCAGAUGGAGACUUUUGAAGCUGCUCCUGCAAAGAAUUAGCUUUUUCCUCAGACUUUUUAAGAACAGAAGUCAAAGCUGUUCGAUUUUUCUGCCAUACAACACAACCAAUCAUCAACUGAGAGUUCCCUUCCACAGCUGCCGUUCCCUUCAAGAAACCGUAUUUUUCAAGAAUAAUGAAAAUUGCAUUGGUCGGGGGACAAAGGUAGAUAGUAACACCUGGAGAGAGCUUUGCUAUCCCGACUCUGCCACAUUUCAUAUAAUCUUUUGCAACCUAAAGAAGACAGCACUACCUUAAGCAGGGGAACAUUUACAGAAACAAUAUUUUCAUUUAUUGGUAGGAAUAGCUUUUACCGCUUUCAUGCCCUUGAGUCCUAUUGCAGAAGCCCCCUUCUUGAGGCAAAUAGAAACUACCUGAACACAAAACAAUUCACUUAAUAAUAAAUCACACUAAUACAGCCGAUGUAUCUGAAUCAUCUGAUCACUAGAGCAUAUAAUCUAUAAUAGCCUUAUUGUGCCUUCAUACACCAAAUAUUAGCUUUUUUUGCACUAAGGACUUGUAAAGCCUUUUAACAAGGUGGGGAACCUCCAACUGGACAUCGAAAGCAUGUAGAAUUUUUAUUUUUAUUUUUUUCUAGGAAGCAAGGAAUAAAAGCGGAUGGUUCAACUUGGUAGAUGAUGGGCUUGCCUCACUACCCUUCUCCACUUAAAUAUCUAGCUUUUUAUCUAUGGAAGGUUUGAACAAAAGCAUAGAGAAUUAUUGCAACAACAUACCUAGUGUAGUUCCACAAAGUAGGGUAUAAAGAGGAUAGAGUAUAUGCAGACCUUACCGCUAACUCAGAGGUAGAGAGGCAAGCAUGGAGAACAAUUAUGAGACGUAAAAUAUUCAAGUCUAACUGUUGAAGAUUCAACAUUAUAGUACCUGAUGAUGCAAUUACAUUUCAAUUCCAAGGAAGUUAGGGUAGAAAAAACUGACUCGGAGACUUGGGACCUUGGCUUAGUAAUGAAUAAAGGGAAGCUCGUCGAGCUUUUUCUGCCGGCGGAAGAAUUCCUCAUAUGUGAGCUUUUUUCAUCAGCGGAAGAAUUCAUCGUUUGUGAGCUAUUGGGGAUCUAUUAGGAUUCCUCAUAUGAAAGGAUUGACUUUACUUGCCUCAUACUCGCUCAAUAUGUCCACUUAGCAUUUUCAUUUUGGUUCAAAGUGUUCACUUAUAUAAUAAAAAAGGAAUAAAUUAUUUCCUUCAGAAUUUACCCCUAUUUAGAUAAGUGAGUGUUUAUGUAAUCAAGAAAAUUAAUUAGAUAAUAGUUAAUUAAGGGUAGUUUAGUCAAAAAGUAUAUUUCAUAGUGAAAAGUCAAAAACACACUUAAAGUAUCCUAAUUUUUUCGAGUUUCAUACUUCAAUUAUUAGGUGAGCAAGUUUCCUACCUGAACUAUCACCAAAUGUUUAUCGAAACACACCUCGUUACUGACUAGACCAAGUGUUCGCAUACAAUGGCUUCUAGGCACGUAACAACUUCAUUUUCUCAUAAAAUUUCAUCCACAUGAUAUAUGUAACGACUAUAUGAGCUGACCCAUUAAUUUUGUAUUGUUUUUUUUUAAAAAAAAAAUCAAUUAUUAACCCUAAGCUCUUCCCUUCAUCAUUUCUCAAACAUUUUUCUUCCUUUCUUCUUCUCUACUGCAGAUUUUCUCAACCUACUACUUCAUCAAUUAUCAGCAAUUUUCUUCAUUUUCUUCUUCUAUCAGGGCAAAUCAUAUUUUCUUCUACUUUUUCAUUAGUUAUAUUUUCUUCUCUUCUUCUAUCCAUAUGAUAUCAAGACCUCUAUGAUUUGAGCAUAAAUUUAAGUAGCCUGAGCCCACUAGAGUAGCCUAAUAAUAUUGUUUUUGAGAAAAUGUUGUAUUCCUCAGCAUUAAGGAUAUGUUGGAGACCUCCGAAAAAUGGGUCCCAACAAGAGAAAAAAACAAAAAACAAUAAGGCUAAUAGAUUACAAAGUACCUAUAAAAUCCAAAAUUUGGGCAGCUUUUUCUAUCCCUUCUUCUUUACACCAAAUAUAAAAAGUAGUCAAGCAAUUCCAUUUGACUUUCUCUAUUAAAUUAGCCUUGUUUUCAAAGCAUCUGCUAUUUCUUUCUUUCCAAAUAGACCACCAAAUGCAUGAUGGUAUUAUACUCCACUUUUUCUUAGAAUUUUCCCCCCCUCUGCUGAUCCAACAUUUAAGUAGAUCUGUUGUAUGCUCCAGCAUAAUCCAUUCGGUAAGUGUUAGUCCUAGAAAAAGGUUCCACAAUUAUGUUGUCACUCUAUAGUGAAGGAACAAGUGGUGGUUGGUUUCCUCGGUCUCAUUAUAGAGAGAGCACCAAGAGGCAAUAUAGAAACCUCUCCUUUUCAAUUUCUCAUGUGAGGAGCAUGCUCUUCUGGCAACCAACUAAGAGAAACACUUUAUCUUGGUUGGAACCUUGUUCCUCCAAGUCUGCUUCCAAGGUCCAAGCUUACAAACUGCAUGCUCUUUCACCUCCUUAAUAUUAGCUUGUUAACAUAAAGGCUUUAAUAUCUAGAGUGUUUCCACCCAAUAGAAUCUUUUUCUGCCAAUAACCCAUUCAGAACAUGUAAUAGCUCAGCCACUCUCCCAAUCUCCCAGUCAUUUAAAUGCCUUCUAAACCCAAUAUUCCAUCCAUGAAUAGACCAUACCUUAGCCACUGUUUCUUCCAGAUUGGUGCACAAGGAAAAUAAGUUUGGAAAUAAGACCAUCAAUGUCUCUCUCCUAUCCAUUCCAAUUCUCCUUCCAGGAUAGGAUUUUAGUCUCAUUUCCCACCUUAUAGGCUAUGUUUCUACUUAGUUCAGGCCACAAGUUUCUUAUUGUUCUCCAAGCUGACACCUCAUAAGUGUUAUUCACAAAGCCAGAGACCCAAUUUCCAUUCAACCCACACUUGUUGACUAUCACCUCCCUCCACAGAGCUUGUUCCUCAGUGUUGAACCUCCAUAGCCAUUUUGACAAGAGGCAUCUAUUCUGCAACCCUAAGUUUCUGAUUCCAAGUCCACCGGAUUGUUUAUGUAAAUGUGCAUUCUGCCAUUUGACUUAAAUUCAAACCUUUCCCUUCUUUAUUCCCUAACCACAAGAAAUCUCUUCUUAGUUUGUCCAGUCUUUCUUCCACUUUGGUAGGCAUAGGGAAUAAAGAAAUAACAAAAGUUGGAAGAGAGUCCAACACUGAGUUUAUUAAAGUGACUCUCCCUCCUAAAGAGAUAUACUGAGCUUUCCAAUUGGCCAAUUUUUUCUGUCUUUUCAAUUAUGUCAUCUCACAUUUCUAGCUCCUUAUGUUUGUUUCCCAAUGGCAUGCCCAAGUAAGUUGUGGGAGGCUGUUCUAUUUUACACCCCAAUAUCCUUGCCAGGCUCUGAAGUUGAGGGACUUCUUUAAUUGGAAAGAUGCUGGUUUUCCUCCAAUUUACUGAUAAACAAUAAAAAGAGACUGCUUCAAAAACCACCAAAGUCAUUCUUAUAAAGGCAACCUGGUCAGCCUUGGCUACACCGAAAAUAAUUGUGUCACUUGCAUAAAGCAGAUGACAAAGCUGCAUUUCCCCUCCUAAAGAGUUACUAACCUUGAAACCUUUUAGCCAACUGAAUUUAGAUAGCUACUCUCAUCAUACUAUUAUAGCCCUCCAUGGCUAGGAUGAAAAGGAAAGGAGAGGGUGGGUCUCCCUACCUUGGACCCCUUUCUGAUGGGAAAAACCAACAUGUUCUCCAUUCACUAAAAUGGCGAACCUGAUAGUUUUUAUGCAAUAGUCAAUCCACUUCAGCCAUUUCUCCCCAAAACCCAUCUGCUCUAGAAUCCUGAUUAGGAAGCCCCAAUUGACAUGAUCAUAACCCUUCGCUAUGUCCAGCUUGCACAUAAUUCCUAGAUCAUCUCCUUUUGAGUCUAGUGUCCACACACUCACUUGCUAUCAGUGUUGCGUCAAUGAUCCGCCUACCUUUUAUGAAGGCUAUCUGGUGUUUAUUCACAAGCUUCCUGAUCACUCUCUUUAACCUUUGGCAAUCAUCUUGUAUAAUCCACCUAUUAAGCUUAUAGGUUUGAAAUCUCUCAGUUCCACAACUCCCACCUUCUUGGGGAUCACUGCCACAUAGGUUGCAUUUAGGCUUUUCUCAAACACUUGGUGGUCAUGGAAUUGCCUCAAGUGCUCAAGAUGUCUUCCUUAAGCAUUUCCCAAAAGUUUUGAUAAAAACUCAUUGGGAAGCCAUCUGGGCCUGGGGCCUUGUCCCAGGCACACAACUUGAGUGUCUCAAGGACUUCAUCUUCCUCAAACACAACUUGGUCUGUUCUGCCAUGUUUCUGUUUGGGAACUCAAACAGAAACUUCUCGUCAUUCAGUUCACAAAUGUUGAUUCCAAAGGCUUUCUUCCAAUUAGUUGAUGACCAUCUUCUUAUGUCUGCUAAAGUUGUCCUCUCCUUGGGCUUCUCACUGCAAAACCCAACUAAGCAUCUAGAUAACAGAUCACCCUCCUGGGUACUUAUUUUAUCUAGAACUUCCACCUUACCAAUAAUGCUUUUGACCUCUGCACUGCAUAGGUUCCUGGAUUGCCAUUUACUAUCUCAUAUAGCAUUAGCAUAUGGGUAAUCAAGAACCACCCUUGUACUGGGUAUUUCUCCUUUCCUUUCUUGCAUUUAAUGAACCUGUCAAUCUUCAAUGCAACAUCCACCCACCCCGCAUUCAAUGCCAACUCAGGAAUAAUUAGGCCUGACCUUCCCCCUCUAUAUACAGUUAUGAUGCUUAUGAACCUCCCAUGUUUAUUAUGUUUUCUCGUGCAAAAAUGCACUGCCUCUUGCUCAGCUAGUUUCCACCUCCUUGUCUCCUUUUUUUCUUUGGAUGCUUCUCUUAGACAGAGACAGAUCCAUUCCAACACAUUUCUACUCAUGGACAAUCUGCGCAUCAUCUUUCUGCUUCUCUCUACCCACUUGUACCAUUCAGCUUUCUCAGUUUCCCAUCUGGUGAUAUCGAAAGACUUGAAACCAGCAUUGAAAUAGAUUUGAUUCUCCUCCAUCCUACUAGUGGGAAUAAUCACAGUGGGUGAUUAUUGUUGGCUAUUUAAAAAAAGGGUUGAUUCCGGUAGAGGAUGCCAGAAAAGAUGGGUUCCUCUCUCCCAGGAAGUAGGAGAGAGAAAGAACAUUGGGAACUGUGUCUGGGAGUAAAAAUCAAUUGACUUCUUUGACCUUGUUUCUCAACACCCUCAUGCUCGAAAAUUAUUCAAACUUAUAUUCUUAGAGAAAUAGAAUAAUUAUAGCUAAACUUAGUUCUCCGGGGUAUUCGACUCCGGAUUUAAAAGCCGGAUUAUAUUCGCAGCAAUCGCUUAUCCUUUUCGAACGAGAUCAGUCCCCAAUUGAUUGUUUUCAUAAACAAAAUCAGAAAAAACUACAAUCUGCUCCAACAAAAACUCCAUUAACACUGAAAUAACAGUCCUCAUAUACGUCAUCCCACUCCCCGUAGUACUGCAUAAGAAACAUAACAUGCUCCACAUGUGCAAAUUCAUUCACAGCUGCGCCUUGCCAAAAAUCUUCUCAAUUGUUGGAUUGAUUUUGUGUAGAAAAUGCAUUCAUGUACAUGUCUCUAUUGUUUUUGCAUUUAAUUCUAUUGAUAAUGUCCACAAAUUACAUUAAGUAUCCAUGUAGUGAUGGUAACUACCAUAUAGUACGUCAUAUUAUCUAUUAAGAAAGCUUUAACAGACAAUCUCAAAACUGAUAUAGUUACACUAUUUAACGUGUUUUAGGGUUAUCUUGCUAUUAGAAACACUAAUGUUCUAGCUACAUGCAUUUUUGUCCCUGUAAUAAAUUCAAUUUUCUGGUUAUCAAGAAAAUAUCACCUAAUAAAGAAUGAGGAGUAUUGUUUUGUGACUUGAACAAUUAUAAGUAAACUCUCAUUUAGUAACUUUGAUUGCCCAAGCAGUCAAGCAUAUUUAAAAUGAAGUAUCCACUUUAAAAUCCCAAUAAGGUCACAUUUGAUAGAAUAAGAAAUUACUACUUCUCUUCUUUUUGAAUACGAAAAUAUAUUUCAUUUGGUUUAAGUCCAAUUCGAAUGCAUGGAUAGGAGCCCACUUCAUGAACCCCGUUCAUCACUAUUCUCCAUCUUCUACAUUUCUAUUUUAGAAGGUUACUACUUGAAACUUCAAGAAUAGUUUUUUUUUUUUAAAAAUUGGCAAUAUGUUGAAACCUCAAGAACAGUGUUAAAUAGUGGAACUCUUUCUGGAUAGUUGACAAAAGUUUAGAUAGGGAUAUUACAUCCUUCUGGAUUUAUCAGCGGUUUUAUUUUCUCAAAUUAUCUAGGUUUAAUUUUUAUCAAGACUUUUUGGCGAAAAACCUAGCCUGGAUACUAGUUUAAUAUUAAUGCAAGCAAAUUAGAAAUACCAGCUUUUUAGCAAUAAGCAUUCACCACUUGUUUACAAGCAGAUAAUACCAGCUUGGUGUUGCCUUGCUCACUAACAUUGACAGGCUUCAACAGAUUUCUUAAAUCAGUAGAAUCACCGGUAAACCAAUAAGCAUGCUUUCCAAAUUUAACAUAUGAAAAAUUGUUAAUCAAGUCAAAGCAGUGUUCAGGAAAGCGAGCGCUUCAUCGCUUAAAGCGAUGAAGCGAAGCGAUGCGAGCCGUCUACGCUUCACAGACUAGAAUGAGUAUGUGAGCGCUUCAUUGCUUAAAGCGUGAAGCGGGGCCUUAUCGCUUUUUUCCGCUUCACGCUUCCCUGAACACUGAGUCAAAGAACUCUGAAUGAUUAACAUUCUCAUCCCUCUUUUCUAAUUCCAGAAUAUACACCUAAUUUCAUAGUAGAUACUUAAAUAUUUGUCUAGGAAACCCACAUGGAUAUAUAGAACUGGAUCAAUGCCCUAUUAGGUAUGCUAUAAAAAGCUUCUUGGGUGAUAUCAACAAAAAUCAUUUUCUAAUGUUGGUUGCGUAAAAAAUUGAAAAAGAUUUUCAGAAAAAGAUUUUACAGAAAAUUAACCUUUUUUACAACAAACCUCAGUACCAAGUGGGAUCGACAAAUGAAUCAUCUAUAUCCUUUGUGCUCUGUUUGGUCUCAUUUGAUUACAACACUUUAUAGUUUUAUCUUUCAAGACAGAUUAAGAGCUCUCUAAACUAUAGGUUCUCCAACAGUCACAUUUAUCCCUACAACUACAAUGCCAUAUAGAUCUCAAAACAAACUAAAAAGACUUCAAGCAAAUAUUGAACCUAAUGUGUGUGUUACCUUACUUAAGACUAAACGAGUUGGUCUAGCCUAUAUGGAUCUUAUACUUCUUUUGUUUCGCGAAAUGCGCAGAAUUCUGGUAGACUAAGUCUAAAAUUAUUUACACCACAGCUCUCUGUAAUAGUACUCUUAUCAGUUGCCUCUACAAGAUUAAAGAGGCAUCUAGAAAAUGUUUUUUUUUUUAAAACAUGUAACAUAAGAAAUAGUUUUGCCAUCCAUACCCAAAAAAGCCUAAAUAUAAAGGAUACUCAUGUAUAAUAUAUAUCCUUAGUGUAAUCAAAAGUUGGAUAACAUUCAAAUGAAGUGUUGUUCUUCUAAUGGUGGUUGUUCCUCCAAAGGCCUAGUCCAAUAUUAAGAAACUACACCCCGAAAAACAGGAUAUGGAUUUUGAGUUCCAUAGAUGUAUGUAGAGGUUGUUUAGCAUCUACAGUUGAAGUUUUCAUAGAGGCAACAAGAUAAACCUUGUUGAGAUGAGUGUUGGUUUUCAGUACAACGUUACCUGAUCAUUUAUAUCGUUAUCAGGAAACAAAAGAUAACCAGAGAUUUUCGUAUCAAGAUUGUAUGUCUCAGUUCAGUUCUAUUGUUUUUUGGGAGUUCUUAAACGAUGAUUCUGUUGUAUCAUUCUAAAUCCAUAAUUUCUACCAAGAUCCUUAUUUGAGUAUCAUGUUAGACAACUAACGGACAGUAGCUACCAUCUUUGCCAAGAAGACAGAAAACUUCUAGAGUAUCCAAGUAUGUUCAUCUUCUCCAGAUAAGCAUGCCAACUAAACAAGGACUGUUAGAUUGGAUAGGAGGGAGUAUUUAAUCAGUCUCAAGAACUUAAAACAUUUGCAGAGGAAAGUGACAGUAAACAAGUAAGAUACAAUUCUUGGAUCACCAAGUUUAGGCAGCCAAUAAACACGUGACUUCUUCUUCUCUUUUUUUCUUUUUAAGGACCGAGGAGGAAGUGAGUAAUCAGAGACUAGCGAAAUGCAUCUCAUAUUAAAAGUAAUGUUUCAUGUCUUCUUCUAAUUUUCUAUUAACCAUUUCAUUUUUCUACUUUUCAGCUGAAAUCUCAAAGGAAAAAAGGCAUAUUUUCUUCUUCCAUCUUUUUCUGAAAUUUUUUUAGGCAUCUAUCACAAAUGAAUCAUGUUAACUCUCCGUAUUAAAAAGCCCAGUUUAAGUAACAGAACAAAGAUAACAAGUCUUACCGUUAGUGCCCGACUGCUUGAACUAGGAAGAUUUUUGAUGUAUUUUUCGAAGUCAUCUAAUCUUACUCUGCCUUUAGCUACUACAAAUUCAGACCACUUGACAUCAAGCAACUUCUCACCGCUACAUAAAAUUCAUCAUUCAUAGGGUCAACAAAAUAUAGAGGACACCAAUAAUCAUCAAAGAAGAGACAGAAAGCAGCUUGCCAUGCAUGCAGGUCUAUAAUGCUACAAAUCAAGUGAACAGAAAUAGAUCCAUCGGCAUCACAUGUUAAGAGGAUCAGCACAAGAGCACGUCAAAUUAUGAACAAAAACAUGGAAAAUGGAAAGCCCUAUAGAAAAUGCUCAAUAGUAGAAACAGCUAAAAUGAAGUUAUUAAAUAGGUAACCAUGAAAGAUGAAAAUCUUUCCUGAAUACAGAUAAAAUGCCUGCCAAACUUCAUACUGAAAGAGCCAUCAUACUGAACAGUCAGUAAAGACUAAACAUGUCCAAGAAAAUCUAUUAGAACUUAGAACUAAGCUAACUACAUUGAAUCAAAUAGACAAUUCAAGAACAUAACUAAUUAAAUUGAACGCACAUGAAACUACCUACAGUAGAAGAGAUGUAAAAAUUCCCAAAUCUGUUCUGGUGGACAAUUUAGAAGUAAGCUCAGUGUGCUUGUCAUAUCAAAAAAGGCGUCAUGCAGGAAUUCUAGGCAUCUCUCCAAUAUAAAAGACCACACAAGCUCUUACUACACAUCCCACUGACACAAUUUCUUUUUUCCCUUUUCUCUUAACUGCACUCAACAUGAACUGGAAUAUGUGAUAUACCUUAAAAUAGUUCCACAUUUAAGCAUUGAGAUUUGUAUGAUUUAUGAAUUAUGCCUGAAUAGACAACUAUCAAACACAAAAGGGCCAGAUAUCUUUCAAUUGUAAGAGCCAUGGAAAAUAAUUUCCCAGGGAACCCAACAAAAAUAAAAAUAAAGCUGUGUUUUGAAUAUAUAAUGAAAUAUGGUAUUCUUUAUAUUCACAUAUAUCAGAUCAAAAUAAGCAAAUAAGGAUAUGGUGAUGCUACUCUCGGAAAGUUGAUACUAGAUAGAUAUCGUGCGGUUAUAGAUUGAUUGAAGGAUGUGUUUUGAUUGCUCGUGGACCAAGUGCUCAAGCUACACCUGUAUGGUGAGUGAUAACCUUACUACUGAUUGUGUUUCUACAACUUAAUGAAAGACCUAAUUCAAUCUCUCCACUAGUUGCGGCGCUGAUACAUGUUCUUAAAUGUCUUUUUUUUAAAAACUGGUAAUGGUGAGUUCUUAAUGUCUUAACUAGGUCAUCAAAAGCUUAGUUAUCUUCUAUCCGUGUACAUCAUAACAGAAGGAGGACUCUUCAGCUAACACUUAUCACAAAAAUGAUCAAAGAGAAGAUUGCCUGGAUAUUGGCCAGUGCAUACACCACAUACACGUAACAGGCAACCAUUUUUUAGAAUUAUAGGAAUGUUCUACAAAAUAAUUUUUAAAAAAAUAUAGCAACAAGUUCUAAGGUUCUAGAGCAUUCCACCAAAUUGUAAAGAUAUGGUAUCUAGACCUAACUCAACCCCAAAAUUAACUCAUGAGGGGAGGAUUGCCCAAUCCAUAUAUAAGCCACGAACCGUAGGUGGGGUCCGUGGUUGGUCACCACAACUCCACCCAGAAAGUUCAGUAAAGACACGACCCACGGCCGGACCUACGGACCGUAGGUCAGACCACGGUCCAUGGUCCAGGUCCGUGGAUCGUGACCCUCAGCACCAGCUCUCUGAAGACAAAUGACGCCCUGCCAAGACGGACCGUCGGUCAGUCCACGGUCCGUCAGUCAGGUCCGUCGAUGGCCCCGUCAGCUUUUAAGUUAGGGUCGUUUUGGUCUUUUCCCCUAUGCAUUGGACACCUAAACUACGUCGUUUAACCCCUAAACUACGUCGUUUUGGUCAGUUUAAGCCUAGUAACAUAGUCAGAACUUACCCUACGCAAUUCAUUCACCAAAAAUUCAUCGAACUUAGAGCAAAAGAGGAGAAAGAGUCGACCAAACCCCUCAAGAACACGCAGCAGGUUUUCUUCAGUUCCAGCCCCAAAAUCGAAGGAAUUCUCCGUAGAUUUCGUCACCAGGUAUGUGGGAUUUUACUAAUGGGUGUUCCUUUCAUCUACUAGGUCCCUAGAAUUCAGUCAGAUUCUUGCUUCGCUAUAUCUUGCUUAGACCUAAGGUUUCUAAAACCUUAGAUAUUGGUUGUGAUUUAGUUGUUAUAGUAUUCGUAAUCAGAUUGUCAUGUUUUGUGGAAUCAUUUUUUAGUUCCUUGCAUGAAACUCAGAACCCUAGUUGUGUAGAUUCUCUUAGUUAAUGAAUUACACUUGCCAUGUCAGUUAAAUAGAUAUACAUGCUCCAGUUUCGAAUGUUUCAUUGUCAGUACAUAAAUGUUGCAUUCUCAGAUUUGCAUGUCAGAAUAUUGAGCUAUCCAGUAUUUCAAUUAUGUUGUGUCAUACACAUUUCCAGUUGGGAAUAGGCUUAGCACCGAGUUGGACUAGGGUUCAACAUACCCUCAUAGUCCCAAAACUACGUGCCCCCGUAGGUUUAUAAGUCCUCUCUGUGGGCACCAGAUUUAGAAAUCACAUCAGUCAUGCCUUUAUACCCCUGGCAAGGUAUAUUGGGUCCUCUCGAUGGGGCGUAUACAUCGGACUCCACAUUUAGCUCAUGUGGUUUUAUCGUGGUUUUAUUUCGGUUAAUAGUAGCUCCCACAGUCAGACACUAAUGCAUUUGACCAGGUUUUCAAUUAUAUUUCAGUAUUUAGUCUCAGCAUGUCAUGUUAAUAAUCAGUACUUGGUCAUUGCAUUCAGUUCAUUUCAGUAUUUACAUUAUGUUCAGAUUAUGUCAUUGCUCAGUCAUGCUUUGUUCAGCUUACAUAUUUGUUCAGUUAUAUUCUAUGUCAUGCAUGCUCAGUACAUUCCAAGUACUGACGCAUACUCUGCGCUACAUCCUUUCAUGAUAUAGGUUCAGGUCCUCAGCAUUCAGGUAUU
rnacentral:lncRNA from 1 species